UACAGGGGGGCAAGCGUUGUUCGGAGUUACUGGGCGUAAAGGGUGCGUAGGCGGUCCUAUAAGUAUGGUGUGAAAUCUCCCGGCUUAACUGGGAGGUGCGCUAUAGACUGUGGGACUAGAGUGUGGGAGAGGAAAGUGGAAUUCCUGGUGUGAGCGGUGAAAUGCGUAGAUAUCAGGAGGAACACCGGUGGUGUAAACGGCUUUCUGGACCAUAACUGACGCUGAGGCACGAAAGCGUGGGUAGCAAACAGGA
rnacentral:rRNA from 1 species